AGGAAUUUAGGUUAAACAGACCAAGAGCCUUCAAAGCUCUAAGUAAACGAAUACACGUUUAAUUCCUG
rnacentral:tRNA from 1 species